rnacentral:lncRNA from 1 species
UAGCGCGGUAGGCGAUGGGAUCUCCUGAACCGGUGAUUCCAACAGGUGGGUGCCCAGGUCCAUCUGUGAGAUUGACACUUGUUGGCACAUGGACGUCUUGAGACCCAAACUGGAACCUUCCAGCUUGCUCCUUAAUGGUUCUCGGUGUGGUUAAGAUGUCCCUACGAUGAUACAAAAAUACAUCGUGGGAAUUAAUUUAUCGUGGCUGUCUGUUCACCCACAUGAACGAAGUACUGCAUUUAAGAUGACAGGGCUACCACUUGUAAAGGAUGUUUUAUUUAUGAAGUAAAUACACAUUUACAGACUAUAUAUUAGCAUGUAAUAAAAGAUAUUUAAAGCACUUCCUACAGUGCCUGUUACAUAGAACGUUCUCAAUAAACAUCAUUUUUGUUCUCCCCUACAGUGCUAUGAGAAAAAAAAAGAGUGAAAAUAUAAUUUAUAUAUUCAUAAAACAGAAUUUAAAAAGUACAAUGUCUAAAUAUUGAACAGGGAUCCAUCACAAAGGCGCUGUAGUGGCCCCUCUCAGGGGGACCAGGCUCUGGAAAUGACCCAGGUUUGUAAGCAUCCAGGACUGCUGCCCACCUCACCUCAUGCCUCCUCACCUUCACCCGCAGAAAUAACUGGGAGGACCAGAUGGCUAGGGGCGGACAGGUGGCCAGACGCUGUGCCACUGUGAAACGAGGUCUUGUCCGGCAUGUAGAAACCGUUGUCCCACUUGGCCACAAUCCCGGCAAAGAGCGGUGUGGAUCUGUGGCCCAGUGGCAGGAGCCGGCAGGGGAGCCCUGCUCUCCAAGACCACAUCAUGAUGCCAGCGGGCUGGUCCACGAUGGUGUCCAUUUCCUAGAAGGCAGUGCUGCCCUGAGCCAUGGGGACCCAGCCUGAGAGACCUGGGACUGGUGAGCAGGAGGCAAGGUGGCACCCAGGCUUGUGAGCCCCCGUGUCACAAGGGUGGAUCAUACAGGUGGAUUGGAAGGGGAUGGUCUGGAGGCCGCUGAUUCUCCCUGCUGAGGGGUCUGGAAGGCUUCACAUAGGAGAGGACCAAGAAUCUUUCAGGGUUGGGGAGGGCCUCCCAGGUAAUAGGAACGGCAGGUCAGAAUGUUCCAGAACUAGAGAAGUCAUCUGGGAUGAGGGAAGCCAGGGUUCACAGCACACACAGGCAGGGACAGGAGAUCUGUCUGGAAGCUCAGGCUGUACCCUGAUUGUGAAUACAGGCAAGGAUUCAACAGGCCUGUGUUUCCCAAAACAGUCCCAGAGAUGCAUGUGUAACAGGCAUCCUUUACAAAAGGACGUUUUGCAAACACUGGAUUGAACAAAAUCAAACGAGUGUCUUUACCAUGAUUCUUGUUCUUUGAUCAUCUAUGCAUCAAAUCUCCAAAAAGUGGGGAGGGGAUGUAGCUUUUCCCAAACGUCUCUGGCCAGGAAGCUCCUGCCGUGAGACUCCAGGCAGAGGCACCCAAUGAGACGCUCUGCUCCAGGCACAGGAAGUAGCAGAUAUGAGGUUAGAGCUGGCAAAGCUCCCUGUGAGAUGCUGUGGGA